rnacentral:rRNA from 1 species
GGGAGCUCUCCCAUAUGGUCGACCUGCAGGCGGCCGCGAAUUCACUAGUGAUUAGAGUUUGAUCAUGGCUCAGAACGAACGCUGGCGGCAUGCCUAACACAUGCAAGUCGAACGAAGGCUUCGGCCUUAGUGGCGCACGGGUGCGUAACGCGUGGGAAUCUGCCCCUUGGUUCGGAAUAACAGUUAGAAAUGACUGCUAAUACCGGAUGACGACGUAAGUCCAAAGAUUUAUCGCCGAGGGAUGAGCCCGCGUAGGAUUAGCUAGUUGGUGGGGUAAAGGCCUACCAAGCCGACGAUCCUUAGCUGGUCUGAGAGGAUGAUCAGCCACACUGGGACUGAGACACGGCCCAGACUCCUACGGGAGGCAGCAGUGGGGAAUAUUGGACAAUGGGCGAAAGCCUGAUCCAGCAAUGCCGCGUGAGUGAAGAAGGCCUUCGGGUUGUAAAGCUCUUUUGUCAGGGAAGAAACGGCCUGUUCUAAUACAGUGGGCUAAUGACGGUACCUGAAGAAUAAGCACCGGCUAACUACGUGCCAGCAGCCGCGGUAAUACGAAUCGAAUUCCCGCGGCCGCCAUGGCGGCCGGGAGCAUGCGA